UAAUCUACUGGAUAGUUAACAGUUACUUGGAUAACUGCGGUAAUUCUGGAGCUAAUACGUGCACAAAGCCUCGAACUUACGUGAGAGGCGCUUUUAUUAGAUCAAAACCAAACGUUUUCGAACGUUUCUUUGGUGACUCUGAAUAACUUUGGGCUGAUCGCACAGCCUUGCGCUGGCGACAUAUCCUUCGAAGGUGUGCCCUAUCAACUGUCGACUGUGGCAUAGACGCCCACAGUGGUUUUGACGGGUAACGGGGAAUCAGGGUUCGAUUCCGGAGAGGGAGCCUUAAAAACGGCUACCACAUCUAAGGAAGGCAGCAGGCACGCAAAUUACCCAAUGACCGAAGGUCGAGGUAGUGACGAAAAAUAACGAUACGGGACUCAUCCGAGGCCCCGUAAUCGGAAUGAGUACACUUUAAAACCGUCCCCGAGGAUCUAUUGGAGGGCAAGUCUGGUGCCAGCAGCCGCGGUAAUUCCAGCUCCAAUAGCGUAUAUUAAAGUUGUUGUGGUUAAAAAGCUCGUAGUUGGAUCUCCACAGUCUGAGGUUGGUGAACUUGCUAGUUCUACUGCCCUAUAGACUGUAGUUUUGCCAGAGGUGUUUGGGUGCUCUUAACCGAGUGUCCAUAUACGCUGGCAGGUUUACUUUGAAAAAAUUAGAGUGCUCAAAGCAGGCUAUUAUGCCUGAAUAUUCGUGCAUGGAAUAAUAGAAUAGGAAGUCGUUUCUAUUUUGUUGGUUUUUAAGUUUCGACUUAAUGAUUAAUAGGGACAAACGGGGGCAUUUGUAUUCAAACGACAGAGGUGAAAUUCUUGGACCGUUUGAAGACAAACUACUGCGAAAGCAUUUGCCAAGAGUGUUUUCAUUAAUCAAGAACGAAAGUUAGAGGUUCGAAGGCGAUUAGAUACCGCCCUAGUUCUAACCAUAAACGAUGCCAGCUA
rnacentral:rRNA from 1 species